rnacentral:rRNA from 1 species
GAAUGAGUAUUUGGUCGUAGACCCGAAACCAGGUGAUCUACCCUUGGUCAGGUUGAAGUUCAGGUAACACUGAAUGGAGGACCGAACCGACUUACGUUGAAAAGUGAGCGGAUGAACUGAGGGUAGCGGAGAAAUUCCAAUCGAACUUGGAGAUAGCUGGUUCUCUCCGAAAUAGCUUUAGGGCUAGCCUCAAGUGAUGAUUAUUGGAGGUAGAGCACUGUUUGGACGAGGGGCCCCUCUCGGGUUACCGAAUUCAGACAAACUCCGAAUGCCAAAUAAUUUAACUUGGGAGUCAGAAUGUGGGUGAUAAGGUCCAUAUUCGAAAGGGAAACAGCCCAGACCACCAGCUAAGGUCCCAAAAUAUAUGUUAAGUGGAAAAGGAUGUGGCGUUGCCCAGACAACUAGGAUGUUGGCUUAGAAGCAGCCAUCAUUUAAAGAGUGCGUAAUAGCUCACUAGUCGAGUGACACUGCGCCGAAAAUGUACCGGGGCUAAACAUAUUACCGAAGCUGUGGAUUGUCCUUUGGACAAUGGUAG